GGGAAGUUCUCGCGGGAGUGAAGGGGGGAAGGGUGGUUCGCAGCCUUUGAGGGUAGUUUUUGCUUCUUUCCAGGUCUUUCGCCUCCAGAUUGAAGGGUUACAUUUGUUCUUCGCGAGGCGGGUGAGAUGUACCCCAACUCCUUCUCUGCCCUCAGGAGCCUGCUGCGGCCUGGAUGCCCAAGCCCACAUUUUCCGCUUCCUGGAAGCGUAAAGUGUGGAGUAGUGGGCGAGAAGAGAAACGUCUAACAAGCUGGUGAAAUUAAGGCGACUCAAACUCCUCAAAGCUAAUUUAUAACUUGAAGUCCAAAGGAACCUGUAUUAUGUUUCAUUUUAUGGGAUAAGCAACACUUCACAACUUCUAAGGUCAUCCCUCUCACCCUUUAAGGAUGCUAGAAACUCAUUUCUGCCUCCCAGCAGGUGGCAGCAAAUCAAUGCUAAAUAAGAGAGAAAGCCACAGGAGCAGGAAACUAAAAUCGAUAAAACCUGGAAGAGAAG